AAAAACAAAAUAAAACAAUACGUGCCUCUCGACCCUCUCGACCCUCUCUCUCGACAUCUCGACCUUCAGAAUAGCUUCUCGAUCCUAAUUCUCUUUGUCACUGUUCUUCUCUUCACUAACUCCACUCCUAAUUGUCUCUCUACCUCUACUCCGAUUUACUCUGUCACUGUGUUGCUUGACCUCCGAUUUACUCUUAUCCCUGAAACCCUAAUUCACCAAUUAGGGCUCGCUCUUCAUCUUUGAUUGAAAUUGAUCUCGUUGGUAGGACGACAUCAACGAGAGAAAAAGAGACAUAAGCCAUAAACACGAUGCACUACAUGGAGGUGAACACCACUGGCGCCACCAACAAGCUCAAUGAGGUCGACAUCGAGUCCGGCGAGGUCUUGUACCCCGGCCCCUCAGUAAAGGCGUGAACCAGCAAGAUCUACGGCAUCUUAUCCGCUCAGCUUCUCCUCACCACCGCUAUCUGCUUCGUCACCGUUGUCUACACUUCUGUCAAGGAUGAGAUGGAAAUGGCAAAGGCUAGUGAGGAAGUUGUGGUGGAGAAUUCUAAUACAUGUGAAGAAUGUGGUGCUGGUUUCAAGAAACCUGAAUAUCUCAAGCAGCAUAUGCAAAGCCAUUCUCUUGAGGAAUCAACAUGUUUAAGAACUAUACCGUUUGGAUCACGUGAAGCAUUGGAUCCCACCAAAUCCCACCAAAGAACUCCAAAAUGCGAAUGUAGCAAAUGGGCAGUUUGAUAGAUACUCUUAUGAUUCUUUCGGGUGACCUUGUCCAAGUUGUUACAAAAGGUAUGCAAUUCAUGGAAUUCCUUGGAUCUGCUUCUCACAUUGAUUUGAGCUCACUACCCUCAAUGGCUAUCAUAGGUACAGCAUCAAGGGACGUGUUUAUCCAGCGAUCCUCUCCGUCAAGAAUAACAAAGUCACCGGAAAGGCAAGCUCUCUCUGAUCAGUUAUCACAAAAUUUUGAUAUAAUGGUCAUGUUUAUGUGUAUAAAGUUUGCAUUUUUAUGGAAGCAGAUUCUUUUUCCUUCUAGCUUAGGUCAUUAGUUAGUUAUGGAUGUGAUUAGGGAGUUGAAAUUGCAGUCAGGUUACUAGCCUCUUCUGUUAACUAGUGCAUGUCCAGGAACCAAAAUUGUGUACACCAACUCGUGUCCAGUUCAUGUGCUACUACUGCCUUAUUGCUUAUUAUGUGGUAAAUAGAAAAUUUAUUAUUGCUUUGGUUUCAACUCUUCUUAUUUAGUAAGGGACCUGUUUUAUUAGCAGUUACUGCCUUAAAGUUGCGUAUUAGCUUGAUUAUUUUGGUUGCUGCACGCAUGCAUUUGCUGUUUAUAUGAGAAAAACAAUAUGCCCGAUUCCUCCAACAAUUACAUGUAUUGAUGUAAAUAGGACAACAUUUGCUUUUAAUCAAAUCAAAUAUACAAGGCUCCUCCUUCAGUAAGUUAUUUCACAUUAAUAAAAACUCUUAAAAGUAUGGGAUAUGUUUUGAGAUAACUUUUGGAAUCAGAAGUUUGUCUUUCCUUGUUCAAAUUUUACUGCAGCUAUGGUUCUUGCAUCUAGUAUUGAAUAUUAGUCAUGCCUGGUUCAUAUUUAAUGCACAUAGGCAGGGUAGACAUCUUGGGUUCCAUUUUUCUUGUUACGAAGUGGAACUUUUGCGCAUCCUUUGUUUUAUGCGUAGUUGAAUCUUCCAAGAUUUUGAUAAUUUUCAUGUUGAGCGAAAUCUCUUCAAAUAUUUUCUUUGUUUUGAUCUUUACUGAUUGCAAACUUUGUUGUUUUUCCAAUAAUUUCUGUACUUGAAUGGAUAUAAAACAUUGCUGAUGCUUUAAUGUUAUAGGUAGGAGAUAUUGAAGGUGAUGCCCCAUUAGCUGAGCAAUUGCAAAUGUCAUCUUCUGAUGCAUUGCAAGAUAUGAUUAGUGAGGUCUUUCUCAUUUGCUGUCAGGGAUUCUUUGGUUAACGUUGGUCCUUUGAAGGACUUCUCCUAUGGGCUAAGGAUAAAUCCAGAUGCAAGUGCUUCUAGAAUUGCUAAACAGAGCAAUUAUGAACUGGUGUGCUGUUCAGGUCAUGGAAAGAAUGGUUCGCUCUAUGUUCUUCGUCAGUCAAUUCGUCCAGAAAUGAUUACUGAGGUUGCAAGGGAAUUUGGACCGUUUAUGCACGUGGUCAUAAUGCUGAGUCUUCCGAUGAUGAGUAUCAUGCCUUUUUAAUUAUAAGUCUGGAGGCUUGUAUAAUGAAAUAUAAUGCUGACCCAGCAGCAGAGGCAGCUGCUGCAACUAUCCUUGGCAUCCAAGUUGGGUGUGGAUUCAGGUCUAACAUUCCAUGUAGGAGAUGAAUCUUUAGUAGCAAGUAUAAGAGAACUUUAGCAGCAAAUAUUUUUCUCUUGCGACGAUUUGAUUGUAUCAUCUUUUGCUAUCUUUCAAUGUAAUUAGUUAGAAUGCAGCGGCCAUCAAGCUAGCUGGAAUGCUUUCUAUUUUGGUUUUAUGAUAUGAAUGGAUACAUGAAUGCUACCUCUUUUGGUACAUUAAAUGGUUGAAUUAGAGUAUUU
rnacentral:lncRNA from 1 species